ACAAAAGACAAAAAAAACUUGUUUAAAAAAAACAACAAAAAGACCCUGGCAUUCCAUAGGACACCUAUGACUUUUGCUCUGAGAGGACCCUCGUAUAUAAACUUCUGACAGCCAUGUUUUAGUCUCUGUCCUUUGGUGUGAGAUAAGGGUAUGUACGGAGAAGUUGUUCAAGCUUAAAGUCAAAGCAGAGUUCUAAUCCUGUGUGAUGCAUUGCUUGUGUAAAACACAACAAGGACCUUCGUUCGGGUUUCUAUUUCUUUUCACUGCUAGCUGAAAGAAAAUUGCACCAUGUGCACCGGCUUCGCGGUCCGAGCACGUGGGCUGGCAAGGACACAAGAAAUGGAGGCUGACCAAAUGGGGGUUAGUUGAUAAUCAGUUCAUACAACCCGGCUGAUUCUGAAGAACAAAGCAACAAUCAUGAGCAUCAAGAUGGAUGCUGAGUGGCUGAUGGUUAAGUCAGCAGUUAUUAGUUGAUGGCACCUGUUUGGUGAUGUAGCCAUAGACGGAAUGUCUUGCUUCAGAUCAUCUGCUGUUGUCCAUGGGGAUGUUUAGGAAGUGAACUCUGAAUGAAGCCUAAAGCUUCACUGAUCGUCAUUCUGGUUAUAUACAAACUAGAGGACUGUUUCACAAAUCCAGGAUAGCGGAUUAAGCUGGGAUUUCCUGGAUAUCCUGUAUUAAUUAAGCCUCAGUUAAUUGAGGCUUAAUUAAUUGACCCCAACCCAGUGUUACAAGGGUUGGGGUGAUUUAUUUUGGGAAGCUUGCAUGCUCCAGACCAGGCUGGCAGCCAGGCUUGGUUAAGCCUGGAACCUUUUCUGUUCAGUCAGCAGUCACAGCAAUCAGAAACCAAGGAGUUUUGUCCAUGAUUCCGUUUUCUUAUCUGCAUGUACAGUUUUUUUGUUGUUGUUGUUUUUUUAAUUACCCUGCAUUAAAACACCUCUAAUUCAUUUUGGUAUUCAAUCAGGUACUGUUAUUUUUACAGUAUACCAUUAGAAAACACAAUUAUCAAUUUUAAAAUGACCUAUAUGGACUCUGCAUGGGUCAAACUGUGUUUCUGAAGAAACUUUCUAAAGACUGCUGUUCUAUAUGAAACAAAAAUGUAAAUGCCCCAUGUCAAAUAUUGUUGCCAUGUGGAGUUAACUGUAAAUGAGCAUUUGCUGACAUUUUAUUGUACAAAAGUAAUAUUUCUCCUGAUUUUUUAAUCCAACUUGCUGUCAGUGAGCAUUACCCAGUUCAUGGGUGGGGCAUGUCCAGUGGGUGAUCAGACAAAAUGAGCAACAGCUGGAUAAUCCUUGGACUGGGUACAAUAAAAGGCCACCCCAAAAUGGAAAGUUUUGUCACAAGUCAUAAUGCCUCAGAUGUCUCAAGUUAUGCAGGAGCGUGACAUUGGCAUGUUGGAUGUAGCGACUUCCACCAGAGCAGUAGCUGCAUGGCUCAAUGUCCAUUAUCGAACUAUAGGCCGUUUAAGAGUUUGUUUCUAACAGACUGGCCCUCCUGCAAAUCGACCUCAUCACAUGUCAGCCAUGUGUAAAAACUCAGAACAAAAGCAUCACAACUUAAAGGGGCAGUUAACUCCAGGUAAAAUUAAAGACGAUACUUCCCAGAUAUUGCAUAUUGUUAUAUUUUAUUUUGGUCUGUAUAAAUAUCUAGAAUGUGGAACAAAACAGAGUAACAUGAAGGAAUUUGCUGUCAGUUCAACAUGUUAUAAUAUUGACUUUCUCUGUUAAUUUAUUAGGUUAUAGUUUUUUUAAUUUUUUUUAUUUGUGAAAAUCUCAUGAUUAUAAUGCGAAUAAUUGGGAAAUACAUAUUUUAGGCUAGUUACGUAUUCAAUUGAUCUGCUAUUGUUCACUCUAGUAACAGCAAUUUUUCUUUUGUAUGAUAUACUUCAAUUUCUCAUGAAUCUCAAUAAAGAUUUGUUUGUUUGGUGUGA